GAUGAACGCUGGCGGCGUGCCUAAUACAUGCAAGUCGAGCGAACAGACGAGGAGCUUGCUCCUCUGACGUUAGCGGCGGACGGGUGAGUAACACGUGGAUAACCUACCUAUAAGACUGGGAUAACUUCGGGAAACCGGAGCUAAUACCGGAUAAUAUAUUGAACCGCAUGGUUCAAUAGUGAAAGACGGUUUUGCUGUCACUUAUAGAUGGAUCCGCGCCGCAUUAGCUAGUUGGUAAGAUAACGGCUUACCAAGGCAACGAUGCGUAGCCGACCUGAGAGGGUGAUCGGCCACACUGGAACUGAGACACGGUCCAGACUCCUACGGGAGGCAGCAGUGGGGAAUCUUCCGCAAUGGGCGAAAGCUUGACGGAGCAACGCCGCGUGAGUGAUGAAGGUCUUCGGAUCGUAAAACUCUGUUAUUAGGGAAGAACAAAUGUGUAAGUAACUAUGCACGUCUUGACGGUACCUAAUCAGAAAGCCACGGCUAACUACGUG
rnacentral:rRNA from 1 species